UUUAUUAUUAUUUAUUAAUAGUGCGAAUUGAAAAUACUGAGUGCAAAAUAAAAUAUAUAUAGGUCUGUGUUUAUUGUUUACAUUUCAUCUACUUCCGGACCCGGUGUGUCCUAAAUUUACUGAAGAAAUGGUUGAAGACUAGAUCUACAUCUAGUUCUAGACAUAGAUCUCUAGAUCUACUGAUCUAGUAGUCUAGGUCUAGAUAUUAGAAUUAGAUCUAUUCUUAGAAUCUACCUCCAAGAAUGAAAUCAGCUCAGCCUUGAGUUGGACGACAUGCUUUAACACUUUUCCCCUGGAGAGCCAACAAAUGUUGGUGUGAUACAGGAGACAUUAGUAGUCUGAAUCCAUUGCUUCACAAAGCUCUGAGGAAAGUUAGAAUGCAAGCGGUCGAGAUUUGAGGAAGUUUACAACUUCAAUCACUUGAUCCAGAACAGACAUCAAAUAUUUGAAGGCAAGAGCUUCUCUGUGGAUCAUGCAGUGAACAACUAAUACAUUUGGAUUUUCUUGACGCACAAGAGUGAAGAAUCCCUUUCUAUUUCCCUGCAUGGAAGGACAGCCAUCGGUGCAAACGCUGACACAGUUUGUCUCCACUGUACUUAAUAGCAAAAUGUUUUCGUUCACCACUUAAAAAUCUUCGCCUUUGGUCGUAGUUGGGCACAACAUAAUGAGGCAACACUUAUUCUGGAUGUUGAAACUAGUGAAAAGAACACGUGGCCUUGUUUUAUCAUGAGGCCCAUACAAAAUACUGGCCCCCCAACAGUCCUUUAGAAUAAAGAUUGUAUGGAAAGCUGCCUGAUCUGAAAAGAAUGGAGUUCAUCUUCGAUAAAUAUAUAUAUAUAUCUGAACCCUACAAUUUAUAAUGAGAACACAGAGAAAAAAAAAACGCAAACAGUGGUGAUUUUAUUGUUUACCAUGGAGUUGUCUACUUUUCAAAUUUUACUGACCAAGUUUGUACAGUGACUGAUCCAUCUGUAGUUUCCGAACCAGUAACUGAUAUCUCAAAAAAAUAUUGCUAUACUGAUGGUGUCUGUCACCUCAGAUGAUCAACAUGAUUUGUUCAUUGAAAGACACUUGAAGGUGUAAGUUGUAAAAGGUUUUGAAAGACUUGCCAAAGCAAGGCAUUCUUGACAGGGAUAAACAUUGGGAGCAGCUCUAGCUGACUCAGCUCAGAGGAUGACAUCACAGUUAAUUGACAUCUUUCUGUUAACAAUGCAUGGAUUAUCUUAUCUUCUUCAUUCUAGGGGAAUUAUGCAUCAAGUGAAGACAUCUUGCUGUAGAAGAGAAGAAAAAUUCAGAUAUUCCACAUGAUUUACAAUAUGGCUUUGAUUGUCUUAUGUUAAUGGCUGGUAAAGAACUGAAACAUGUAGGCUGGAGAAUCACUUGAUAGAAAUCAAGAUGUUUAGUCACUUUGGGAGCAGUGAUCUUGAGAUUUCGAUGCUAGAUACUCUCAGAUUUGAAAGCCGGUAUCUUGGAUAUUUUCUUAGCUCCUCUAGAUCAAGAUGGCAAAGAACUUUAUAAGGAUAGGUCUCCCAUCCAUCACACAACAUUCAAGCACCAAUGGGUUUCUUUCAAGGAGUUGAAGAUAAGGUAGUUCCCCUUAACAAAGCUGAGAUGAGGAAGUUAAAGCAAAAGGACUGCAAUGUUUGUUUCAAGGACCAGACACAAGAGAAUUCGACAACAUAUGUAUCAGAAGAUCAAAAUCAGAAACUGAAAUCUGCCCAUUUGGAGUGUCACCAGAGAAUGCUGACCAUCUCCUCCAAAACUGCUCUCUUUACCAAGAGGCUGUACAUGACACUGGCCCCAAAACACCCCAAUAGAAAGAAAACUAUAUGGAGAGUUCCCUGAUUUGGAAACCACUGCGAAAAUAAUCUCAUAUACUGGUCCAGUCAUCUGAAUGCUCCAAUAAAAAAAUGAGAAGGAAGAAGAAAGAAGAUUGUAUGUACCAUUUUUGUUUGUUUGAGGAUGGGGAGAAAAGUGUUCUUAGAAUUCAAACACCAAAAGGAAGCAACAUUGCUAUCAAAAAGCAGAGACGAUACAAACCUCAUUAGAUGAAGAGUUGGUAAAGUCCUUGGUUUUGAGCCAGCAGAGAAACAUAAAAAGGGCCGUACACAUAUAUGUAAAAGACAUGCUAGAUCUAUGAGUGUAGAGAAAGAUAUUCGUUAUGAGCUGCUGGCUAGAUUAUGCCCAAACAGUACAGGAGCGGAAAUUCGUAGUGUUGGCACAGAAGCUGGAAUGUUUGCUAUCAGGGUUCAUAGAAAUUGUACAGAGAAAGAUUUUCUGGAAGCAGUAAAUAAAGUCAUCAAAGCCUACGCCAAAUCUAGUGCAACUCCUUGCUACAU